UUUUCACUGAGCUAAGACCAGUCAUCAUGUUCACUGUUAUAUUCAUGUAUCUGUGCCUUUCACUAGGUGACUCCAUGGCAGAUUCAAUAGAGCCACUUUUAGAGCCUCAUAAAGCUGUAGAUGAAGGUGACAAUGUUACUCUGUCCUGCAAAUACAAACCCAGCACAAGUUCAACAAACAACUACCUCCACUGGUACAGGCAAUAUUCAAAAUCUAAACCCGAGUUCCUUUUGUAUAUUCACCAAAGAGGAACACCAAUCAGUCCCAACAAUCCCUCAAGAAUGUCUGUUAAAGUUGAUGAUAAAACUAAACAAGUGGAUCUGAUCAUCUCCUCUGCUGCUGUAUCAGAAAAAAUCAUACUUCCUGCGAAACCACAGACAGUUGACUCCCUGAUGGAGCAACUUGAAGAAAAGCUUCAGUAUGAAGAUCCAGAAUUCAGCAAUUCCCUUGUGAAUCUUACCUACAUUGCUGACUUGCCAGAUAAGCCCACAUGGAACUGUGAUGACAACAACCCCUAA